AUACGGAGGGUGCAAGCGUUGUUCGGAAUUAUUGGGCGUAAAGCGCGUGUAGGCGGUCUUUUAAGUCUGAUGUGAAAGCCCCGGGCUCAACCUGGGAAGUGCAUUGGAAACUGGGAGACUUGAGUACGGGAGAGGAGAGUGGAAUUCCUAGUGUAGGAGUGAAAUCCGUAGAUAUUAGGAGGAACACCGGUGGCGAAGGCGGCUCUCUGGACCGAUACUGACGCUGAGACGCGACAGCACGGGGAGC
rnacentral:rRNA from 1 species